CGUUUGGUAGGAGGGUAUUUGCAGGGAUGGGAGAGUAUUAUCCCGGCCCAUUUCCGAAACCCCGCUAAUCCCCGAAAGCCCAUUUGGUAGAGGAGUUUUGGGCCAAAAAAUCCCCGCCCAUCCCCGAUUAACCCCGUCCCCGACCCAUUUUUUGCCUUGGGCCGAAUCCCGGACCUGGACCUCGCGUAUUAUCCCCGUCCCCGACUCCAAGUCUUCGUCUCCAAACCCUAUCGAGCGCUGCAGCAAAGCGACCGGCGGCGAGCGACCGGAGGCGAGCGGAGCCGCUGCGGGAGAGGCGGAGCAUCUUGCCGGCGAGAGGGGCGGAGGAUCUUAGCGGCGGGAGAGGAUGGAUCCCGCCUAGCCGCUCCCACAUCAGGUCGCCGCCGUUCUUGCAGUCUGACCGGCGCCGCCACUACUGCCGUUUCGAUCUCCGGCCGAAGACUCUUCUAGAAAUCCAAGAGAUAUCAUUGUAGUACCUACUGCAACAGACAAAAAUAUUUGCCCACUCCACAAAAGGAAGCAAAUCAGUUGGUAAGCUUCCCUGGGUUUUUCUUUUCAAAGGUAAGCUUCCUAUUGUGCCCUUAUGACUGCAAAAUCCAUAAUUGCAGUACAUAUUAUUCAUACUAGCUUUGCUAAUCUAAAUAUGCUUAACCGCAAUAGAUUAAUCACCUCCUUGUUAUUGACAGGAACAGUCUGGCAUUCUCUCCGACUAAUUCAUUCAGUGGAUGCUUUUGGUCAUUUUUUUAAUUACUCCCUGAUAUCGAACUAUUGUUAUCUGAAAUGCAAAGGCACUUAACAAUUCAAUAGCUUUAUAUUCUCAUUUCAUUGCUAGGCAUCUUGAGACUUUUUGAGUAUACUGGAUGUUGGAACCAAAUUUAAUAUGUUGUUUUUUCAUUUUACAUACUAUAUGCUCCUGUGGGUAUGCAGCUCAUUUCCCAAAAUUUACAAGAAGAUAUAAGCUGUGGGAACGAGAUCUUUUGUUAGUUGAUAGAAACUAACCUGGUACUGAAGUAAUAUUCUUGACAUUGAUAAGAAAAAGUUUCUGGAUCCAGACUGGAUAUAAGUUACCUCAGUUAGUACCUAGUAAUUUUUAUCUCUUGAUAUAUAAGUUAUCUCAUGUAGUAUAAUAUAGAUGGUUGUUGUUAGUUUUUCUAGGCUGUUGUUGUUUAGAUGGAUCAAUGGCUGCUAGACUGUCUGGGCUGUGGUCAUUAGUGUUUAUUGUCGAGCUAGCUGCUCCAUAUCUUGCUCUGGUUUGCUGUCGAGCUAGCUGAUCCAUUUAACAUUUAUUGUAUGCCUUUGCCUUGUGUGAAGUGCCAAUUAAAUUUAGUACUAUUGUUACUUCCUGUUUUGAAUAAUUUAUGUGCAAAGUAGAUGCUUUUGCUCCCUGUUUUGAAUAAUGUAGGUUGCUCCCUGCUUGUGUAUUACUAGUUGGCCCCUGUUUUGAAUAAUUUAUGUGCAAAGUAGAUGCUUUUGCUCCCUGUUUUGAAUAAUGUAGGUUGCUCCCUGCUUGUGUAUUACUAGUUGGCCCCUGUUUUGAAUAAUUUAUGUGCAAAGUAGAUGCUUUUGGUCAUUUUUUUAAUUACUCCCUGAUAUCGAACUACUAUUAUCUGAAAUGCAAAGGCACUUAACAACUCAAUAGCUUUAUUCUCAUUUCAUAGUUAGGCAUCUUGAGACUUCUGAGCAUACUGGAUGUUGGAACCAAACUUAUUCCAAUGCAAUGUUUUGUUCAGGUUCCGAUUUCCAAAAGCCUCCGCAGCCAACGCUACUGUCUAGUGUGGCACAGAUCGCUGCAGUUUCUACCACUGAUGGCACCUGAGAUGUUUGCUCGCCUCUGUUGUUGAUUGGUGCAACUUGUUACAACAUCUUGUAGUGUCAUGGUUGGUCAGAAUUUGGAAUUUACAACAUUUUGUAGUGUCAUUUUGUAGUAGCACAAAUAUCUGUAUCCUGGGUUCUGAACUAUCAAUGUCACUGCCGUGUUGGACCUGGUAUUGGACCUGAUACGCACGAAUAGUUACAAUGACAUAAAGGUUAUCAAAAUCUCAUAUAAGUUUUAGUUCAGAUUUCAAUGUAAGUGUCGUGUGGCCAAUGGUAUAAAAAUUAAAUCUUUGCUACUUCAUGUUGAUUUCU